GGGAAUGUGGCUUAGUGGUAGAGUGCUUGCCUAGCAUGCAUGAAGCCCUGGGUUCAGUUCCUCAGUACCA
rfam:Dipodomys ordii contig_9328, whole genome shotgun sequence.